rnacentral:rRNA from 1 species
AAAUGCGAUCAUACCAGCACUAAUGCAUCGGAUCCCAUCAGAACUACGCAGUUAAGGGUGGUUGGGCGAGAUUAGUACUAGGAUGGGUGACCUCCAGGAUAGUCCUCGUGUUGCAUCCC